GAUGAACGCUGGCGGUAUGCUUAACACAUGCAAGUCGAACGAAAGCUUUAUGCUUUAGUGGCGAACGGGUGCGUAAUACGUGAGAAUCUGCCCUUAGGAGGAGAAUAACUUCUGGAAACGGUUGCUAAGUCUCCAUAUGCCGAGAGGUAAAAUAGUUUAUACUGCCUAGGGAUGAGCUCACGCCUGAUUAGCUUGUUGGUAAGGUAAUGGCUUACCAAGGCCACGAUCAGUAGCUGGUUUGAGAGAACGAUCAGCCACACUGGGACUGAGACACGGCCCAGACUCCUCCGGGAGGCAGCAGUGAGGAAUUUUCCGCAAUGGGCGAAAGCCUGACGGAGCAAUACCGCGUGAGGGAUGAAGGAUUUUGGUCUGUAAACCUCUUUUCUCAAGAAAGAAGUUCUGACGGUACUUGAGGAAUAAGCAUCGGCUAACUCCGUGCCAGCAGCCGCGGUAAUACGGGGGAUGCAAGCGUUAUCCGGAAUCAUUGGGCGUAAAGCGCCUGUAGGUUGUUUAAUAAGUCUGUUGUUAAAGACUAGGGCUCAACCCUAGGAAAGCAAUGGAAACUACUAGACUUGAGUAUGAUAGGGGUAGAGGGAAUUUCUAGUGUAGCGGUGAAAUGCGUAGAUAUUAGGAAGAACACCGGUGGCGAAGGCGCUCUACUGGAUCAUUACUGACACUCAGAGGCGAAAGCUAGGGUAGCAAAAGGGAUUAGAUACCCCUGUAGUCCUAGCCGUAAACGAUGGAUACUAGAUGUUGCGUUUAUUAUGCAGUAUCGUAGCUAACGCGUUAAGUAUCCCGCCUGGGGAGUACGCUCGCAAGGGUGAAACUCAAAGGAAUUGACGGGGGCCCGCACAAGCGGUGGAGCAUGUGGUUUAAUUCGAUGCAACGCGAAGAACCUUACCAAGGCUUGACAUACUACAAAUUUCUUUGAAAGAGGAAAGUGCCUUCGGGAAUGUAGAUACAGGUGGUGCAUGGCUGUCGUCAGCUCGUGUCGUGAGAUGUUGGGUUAAGUCCCGCAACGAGCGCAACCCUUAUUUUUAGUUGCUAAUUUAUUAGGUUUUCUAGAAAGACUGCCGGUGACAAACCGGAGGAAGGUGAGGAUGACGUCAAGUCAGCAUGCCCCUUAUGCCUUGGGCUACACACGUGCUACAAUGGUUAAGACAAAGAGUUGCGAGCUCGCGAGAGUCAGCUAAUCUCAUAAACUUAGCCUAAGUUCGGAUUGUAGGCUGCAACUCGCCUACAUGAAGUCGGAAUCGCUAGUAAUCGCUGGUCAGCCAUACAGCGGUGAAUCCGUUCCCGGGCCU
rnacentral:rRNA from 1 species